UACGAAGGGGGCUAGCGUUGUCCGGAAUUACUGGGCGUAAAGCGCGCGCAGGCGGUCUUCCAAGUCAGUGGUGAAAGCCCGGAGCUCAACUCCGGAACUGCCAUUGAAACUGUGAGACUUGAGUAUGAGAGAGGUGAGUGGAAUUCCCAGUGUAGAGGUGAAAUUCGUAGAUAUUGGGAAGAGCACCGGUGGCGAAGGCGGCUCACUGGCUCAUUACUGACGCUCAGGCGCGACAGCGUGGGGAUCAAACAGG
rnacentral:rRNA from 1 species